AGUGAACGCUGGCGGUAGGCCUAACACAUGCAAGUCGAACGGCAGCACAGUAAGAGCUUGCUCUUACGGGUGGCGAGUGGCGGACGGGUGAGGAAUACAUCGGAAUCUACUUUUUCGUGGGGGAUAACGUAGGGAAACUUACGCUAAUACCGCAUACGACCUACGGGUGAAAGCAGGGGAUCUUCGGACCUUGCGCGAUUGAAUGAGCCGAUGUCGGAUUAGCUAGUUGGCGGGGUAAAGGCCCACCAAGGCGACGAUCCGUAGCUGGUCUGAGAGGAUGAUCAGCCACACUGGAACUGAGACACGGUCCAGACUCCUACGGGAGGCAGCAGUGGGGAAUAUUGGACAAUGGGCGCAAGCCUGUUCCAGCCAUACCGCGUGGGUGAAGAAGGCCUUCGGGUUGUAAAGCCCUUUUGUUGGGAAAGAAGAGCAGCAGGUUAAUACCCCGCUGUUCUGACGGUACCCAAAGAAUAAGCACCGGCUAACUUCGUG
rnacentral:rRNA from 1 species